rnacentral:rRNA from 1 species
AGUGAACGCUGGCGGUAGGCCUAACACAUGCAAGUCGAACGGCAGCACAGUAAGAGCUUGCUCUUACGGGUGGCGAGUGGCGGACCGGUGAGGAAUACAUCGGAAUCUACUUUUUCGUGGGGGAUAACGUAGGGAAACUUACGCUAAUACCGCGUACGACCUACGGGUGAAAGCAGGGGAUCUUCGGACCUUGCGCGAUUGAAUGAGCCGAUGUCGGAUUAGCUAGUUGGCGGGGUAAAGGCCCACCAAGGCGACGAUCCGUAGCUGGUCUGAGAGGAUGAUCAGCCACACUGGAACUGAGACACGGUCCAGACUCCUACGGGAGGCAGCAGUGGGGAAUAUUGGACAAUGGGCGCAAGCCUGAUCCAGCCAUACCGCGUGGGUGAAGAAGGCCUUCGGGUUGUAAAGCCCUUUUGUUGGGAAAGAAAAGCAGCAGGUUAAUACCCCGCUGUUCUGACGGUACCCAAAGAAUAAGCACCGGCUAACUUCGUG